rnacentral:lncRNA from 1 species
UCCAUUUCUGCUACUGAGGAUGGACACAAAGAAUGCAAAGUUGAUUAGAUUCAUUUUUGCGGCUCAGUGAUCCUAAAGCUUUUCUAAAAUAUGGAUUUCCUGAACUAUAGUGUCUGCCUCUUGCAUGUGAAUAAAAUCUUCUCUAAACUAUCACUAGGUAAAAAAACAAACAAACAAACAACAACAACAACAACAACAACAACAACAACAACAACAACAACAACAACAACAACAACUACCAUAGCAAGUGCAGUGGAUUAUUCAUCAAUUCAUCAAACAUCCAGAAGUAGAAGACCAGUCUUCAUGGGAUGAAGAUGCACCAACCAGUGUGAAGAUUGAAGGAACUACAUGGGAAUGACCAGAGCACCAGGAACUGCAGCUCCCUGGCAGCCAUCCCUACUCUGAGAGUUCACUGCAUGAUGUCAUGACUUCAAUCAUCCUGAAAUUUGCUGGAAAAGCAAUGCUGCCAGGCACACAUAGUCCAAGAGGUUCUUGCAGUGUACACAUGGUGGAGGAGCCAACUAUGUGCUGCUGGACCUUGCUCUUACAAAGGAGGAAGCACUAGUUGGGGGUGUGAAGACUGGGGCCAGCCUUAGCUACAGUGACCAUGAGAAAGCAGAG